GGCCUCGUGGCGGAAUGGCAUACGCACUAGCUUGAGGUGCUAGCCCGAAAGGGGUGGAGGUUCGAGUCCUCUCGAGGUCA
rnacentral:tRNA from 1 species